UACGUAGGGGGCUAGCGUUGUCCGGAUUUAUUGGGCGUAAAGAGCUCGUAGGCGGCUCAUUGCGUCAACCGUGAAAUCCUGCUGCUCAACGGCAGGUCUGCGGUUGAUACGGGUGGGCUGGAGUUCGGUAGGGGAGACUGGAAUUCCUGGUGUAGCGGUGAAAUGCGCAGAUAUCAGGAGGAACACCGGUGGCGAAGGCGACUACCUGGCCUGUUUCUUGACGCUGAGGCGCGAAAGCUAGGGGAGCAAACGGG
rnacentral:rRNA from 1 species